AGAAACAUUCUCAGAGGUAAGAAUUCUCCUUGUGAAUAUGAUGCAGAUUGUAUAAACCUUUAGUUCUGUAUUGUCCAUGAUGAGAUGUUCUUACCACAACCUUCUUAUACUUUUAUGUUGUACAGACCUACAGCCAGACAGGAUGAUCACAGCCAAUGUAUGUUCUCAAAACAAAAUACAUCAAACACUGCACACACUACUAACACAACUACACACAUGCAUGUACGAACACAACUUGUAGUUACAUUUUAAUUUAGUUUCUGUUCUAGAUGAUUUGGUGAUGGGAGCAGUGAACAGUGCAGCCAUGUUGGAUUCAAAGGAUGCUGGGAUCUAUUCUCUCAUCACCUCUGUACCGUCCACGUUUUUGCCCUCAGGCCAUGUUCAAGAGAAUGGACAGUCAUCUGAAAAAGACAAUUCUGAUACGUACCACGUAUACAGCUCAGUCCCCGACAGACCAGCAACCUCAGCCCAGCCAGAUGGGUUGUACAGUCUUCUGCAGACACACUGAAACUAUACCACUGGCUUUCUGUAGCUAUUUCUCACAGAAAUACUCUGUCAUCCCAUGGCAAAAUGUGUAGAACUGCAGGAAAUAAGCUUUAAAACUGAAUUUCUUUCAACCCCAUGGCACAAUAUGUACAAUCGCAGGAAAUUAGCUUUAUAACUGCAAAGUUCUCUCCACCCCAUGGCAAAAUGAGUAGAACUGCAGGACAUUAACCUUAAAGCUGCAAAUGUUUCACUCCCCUGUCAUGAGGGGGGCCACUAAAAUGUUUUGCUCGCCCAAGGCCCCCAAAAUGCUAGAAACUGCCCUGAUUUUCUGUAGCACACAUGGACACCUGGCUUCGGUUACUGUGUUAGUAUUUCUAUUUGGGGGAGUUGGAGGGGUCCGGGGCAUACUCCCCAAAAUCUUGAAAUCAAAAUAGAUCAAAAUGAAAUAUUUAGGUGUUACAUUUUUUUACAUCGUUGGCAACAUCAUCAACACUGAAAAAUACAGAUUUCCUAAAUGUUAUUAAAAUCUCCCCAGUACCCCAUGUGUACAUGUUAUUUGACGUCAAUUUACUCAGCACUUCAGUCUCCCUUUCAAUGUGCAGUGUUGUAGACACAUUCUAGAGUUUUAGUUCAAUGACUGCGAAGCAGUUAAGUUGUAAAUGUUGUGAGACCAUACCUUUCAUGACAAUUUUUUUCUCCAGUUAACUUUGGAGAUGAGCCUAUUUUGACCAUCCUGAUCUCGUGAGUCUACAGGUGUUAGAUCUUAAUUUGAGCCAGUUUGCUACAGCAGGAAAAUAAUCCUGCAGCUACUGGAAAUGUGAAUUAAUAUGUGGAUUGUAGUUAUUGGACAUUUCUGUAGGGGUUGAUACAUUUAAAUGACAAACUUUAGAAUCCCAAAUACACUAUACAUUUGCAUUUCCUGCUGUAGAGGAAAAUUCUCAUAAAAAAGAGUGAUCAAAUUAAGGUCCUACAUCUGUACAAUGUUUCGAUACACACUAGAGUCCAGCAGUAAGGAUGGUGGAUCAGGCUAUGGGGGAUGGCUUCUUUUGUUUAAAAAAGUGGUGAUCCGCCCUGACCUCCUAAUCCCUCUUCUAUAAGAUUCUUGAUAUACAGUAAAUACAAAAUCCUACACUUCUUUGCUCUGUUUGAAACGCUCUCUUCUGUAAAACAAAAAAAGCAUGCAGAAUAAAUUGAAUUCAACCAUUCCCUCGUUUUGUUAGUAUUUUACAUUAUUUGAUUUUGAUCUUGAUUAUUCAAGAUAAUGCUAAAAAUAUGUACUGUUAUCAAUGUCAUCGUUUCAGGCCGUUGGUGAAGAUCAAGGUGCUAUUUUCACAAAAUAUUUUUUUCAGUCCAUAUAACUACCUUGUCAUCGAAACAGAACCUCUUUUGGUCGAUUUCCCAGAGACAGUUUAUGCCUAGUCCUGGACUAAAAAGCAUGUUCAAUGGAUAAUUUACAUAUUUUUACUCCAAUGGUAGGCUUAAUCUGGGUCUGGGAAACCAACCAUUGGUGUUAUGGACUACAGGUAGUCAAGGACAUUGAUAAUUUUGCUCUUGCAUCCAGAUUCUCUGUAUUGUGGUCAAUUCAGCUGUGAGGGGGGCAAAGAUGCCUACAUUCUCCUGCAGCAGUCACAGACAGUCUUCAGAUCACAUACCAACCAGUACAUGCAUGCUGUCACGUAUCCACACCUAGAAACAGGUGCACGAGUGCACACACACACCACAGCAGGGUGGAAAGGAUGACAUCUUGUCCUUCUGAAACUUCAGCCUAUCACAUUUGUGACUUGUUUCUGGAAACUAGGCA
rnacentral:lncRNA from 8 species